rnacentral:rRNA from 1 species
GACGAACCGUGCGAACGUUAUUCGGAAUCACUGGGCUUAAAGCGCGUGUAGGCGGGACGGCACGUCGGUCGCUGAAAUCCCCCGGCUCAACCGGGGAACGGGCGCCGAUACGACCGCCCUGAAGGGGCGUAGGGGGACCUGGAACUUCCGGUGGAGCGGUGAAAUGCGUUGAGAUCGGAAGGAACGCCCGUGGCGAAAGCGAGGUCCUGGACGCUUACUGACGCUGAGACGCGAAAGCCAGGGGAGCGAACGGG